UAAACCGAGAAGUAAUAAAAAAGUUAGUUUACCUUCAAGCUUGACAAGAAUCUGGCAGAUUAUGUGCACUGUACUACUGUAUGACUCGAGAAAGAGCUGGAAUAAUGCAGUCAGUGUGAUGCAUAAACAAACUUAUGUGGAAUAUGUCGUGUUUUCAGGAAUAGGUGAGAAGCUCAAAGUCGAGACAAUGCUCUUGGAUCGUUGCCUCUUUCGUCCGUCAUUUCCAGCAAGUAUUGGAUUUGGAAACAUUAAGACACUGCUGGUUUCUUUAGACCACAGAAAAGAUCGCUGGUACCUGGAGGGCAAUGUUGAUGUUAUAUCUGGUGCAUUAAAUCCUCAUAAAACAAAUAACUGUCUGUGAGAAGAGGACUUUCAAGAAGACGGUCCCCAAAACUACAGCUGUUUUGUGACAAAUCAUAGCAGCAGAGAGCAAGAAAGUUUUUCUUAUGUGUAGAAACUCAAGCAGCAACAAUUAGCAGGACAUUUUCAUUAGAUGACAAGCGUGGCAGUUAAUAACAUGAAACCUGUGAAAAGAGAAACGAGAAUCUGAACAAGGUGCACAUAGACAGAGCA